GCAAUAAUAAUAAAAAUAAUAGCUGAUAUAUUCCAUUCCUUUUAUUAAUUUUGUAGCCCGCCUCUGCACUUUUUUUAGUGCCAUAAUAUCCUUCUUUAGAACAGGUGCCCCAAAUUGCACAGCAUAUUCAAUAUGUGGUCUUACCAGUGAUUUAUAAAGAGGCAAAAUUAUAUUCUCAUCCCGAGAAAGAAUGCCCUUUUUCAUGCAUUACAAUACCUUACUGGCCUUAGCCACUGCUGAUUGACAUUGCACAUUGUUGCAUAGUUUGUUGUCUAUAACAAUUACCAAGUCCUUUUCGUGUGUUGUUAUCCCUAAUUCCCUUCCAUUUAGGGUAUACGUUGCUUGUGCAUUCUUUACGCCGAAGUGCAUAACUUUGCAUUUUUCAACAAUAAAUUUCAUCUGCCAUUUCAGUGCCCAGUCCCCCAGUCUAUCUAAAUCCAUCUGCAGCAAAGUAAUAUCUUGCUCACAUUGUUUUAU